UGUGUAUGUUGCUUGCAUUGAAUUUUUGUUGUUUUUUUUUCCUCUUUCUUGUUC
rnacentral:ribozyme from 18 species